UUGGGAAUAUUGGACAAUGGAGGAAACUCUGAUCCAGUGACGCCGCGUGAAGGAAGAAGGUCUUCGGAUUGUAAACUUAUUUUGUCAGGGAAGAAACAAAUGACUGUACCUGAAGAAAAAGCACCGGCUAACUACGUGCCAGCAGCCGCGGUAAUACGUAGGGUGCAAGCGUUAUCCGGAUUUACUGGGUGUAAAGGGCGAGUAGACGGCGAUGCAAGUCAGAUGUGAAAUGCUAGGGCUUAACCUUAGAACUGCAUCUGAAACUGUAUUGCUAGAGUGCAGGAGAGGUAAGCGGAAUUCCUAGUGUAGCGGUGAAAUGCGUAGAUAUUAGGAGGAACAUCAGUGGCGAAGGCGGCUUACUGGACUGUAACUGACGUUGAGGCGCGAAAGCGUGGGGAGCAAACAGG
rnacentral:rRNA from 1 species